CUGAACAAUAACUCAAACUGAAGAAUCAAGAGAAGUGACUUCACAGUGAUCAGGCUGACCAGAUGUCUUGGGGGCCAUGGAUGUUAAAAGGGAGCUGUUGAAGAUACUGGAGAAGUUGGGAGAUGAAGACUUCACAGGCUUUAAAUGGUUCCUAAAUUGUACCUCAGAAAUCCCAAAGAGUCAUCUGGACAAAGCAGACAGGUCAAACACUGUAGAUAAGAUAGUACAGACCUACAACCAACAGUCUGUGGAGGUGGUGAAGAAAACCUUAAAGAAGAUGGACAGGAAGGAUCUAGUGGAGGAAUUAUCAAACAUCAGCAGAGGAUCACACGAUACCAACACACCUGUUUCAUCCUCAGCGUGUGGAGUCUCUCUGUCAGACAGCAUCAUGGCACAGC